UGCCAGAAAGCCAGCCCAGCUUGAAGAGAGAAGGUGCUGCUGUGUCUUCCUCCUCGGUUACAAGCUGCCUGAACAAAGAGCCAGGGCGCGACGCCUCGUCUUCUGCUCUUCCACUGCAAGGAGGCGUAGGCUACAGAACAGCUCUUCCCAGGCAACGGGAGCUUGAACCACAACCGAAGCAGCGCCACUCCAGGCGGUGAGUGACAGACUGUUCUGAGCAGCAGCAGCACAGCGUCUGGCUGUUGUUAGCAGCAGGUGACUCUUUUGAUGUCAUUCAAAGCAGACUUUAACCUCUCCAGAACCAUUUGAGCAUAAAAGAAGGAGCAAGCAUCUGUCAGGUGUUGACAGAAGUGUGGCUAGCACUGAACACACAUGUGCCACCACAGCAGGCGAGGGGAGUGGUAGGAGCGAGCCACACACCACUGCACACUUCUACUCCAGCUGAGGUGUAAGAGGUAAACAAUACCCUUAGUGUGAAGCUUUGGGCUUUCAAACAGCCCUCAUACUAUGUCUGGUCUGGCCUCAGACCACGAGUAAUGGAGAACAAGAGUUGCAGAGUAAACUGCAUCAGCAUCUCAGGUAACACUCAGACCUUUUCUGUCCCCAUUGAAGGGACAUAACCACAGAUGGAUUAUUGUGUUAAUAAUAGCUAAAGGAAAGAGAUUACUAAUUACUGCUUCCUGUAGCAGUGAGGUAUUCCUUGGCUCUCAAGCCUCAGCACAGAGAACUCCAUCUAAGUGGAUGUUUUAAAUGUAGCAACAUAAGUUGUCUACUUCUAAAACUCAGAAACAGGACAACACAAAGCCUUUGCAAGAGAAGCAAACCACUCUGCUCACACAGGCUUCAAUACCCAAGCCAGGCUUCGUCAGGAGUUAGAGGUCCGCAUCCUACUGGAAAGGAGUUCAGAUAAUUAGCUUGUAUCCUUCAAGAGUUCUUGCAGCCAUCUUUAAAUGAAUUGUCUUCUAUGCAAUGACCUCAGAAUGCCUCAUCCCUGCGUUUUUAUGGUGGUUAUUGCUUAUGUUUUACCACAGAGCAGAGAGCCCCCAGAAUCCAGGGGCCAUCAGUUGGUUUGUUGAGGGUCAAGGGGAAACCCAUCCUGUGCUGUGUUGCUGCAAUGGUUCUCUGGUUUUACCGAAAAUAAAGAUGAGGUUAAACAUGAA